AUUGAACGCUGGCGGCAGGCCUAACACAUGCAAGUCGAGUGGAUGAGGGGAGCUUGCUCCCUGAUUUAGCGGCGGACGGGUGAGUAAUGCCUAGGAAUCUGCCUGGUAGUGGGGGAUAACGUUCCGAAAGGAACGCUAAUACCGCAUACGUCCUACGGGAGAAAGCAGGGGACCUUCGGGCCUUGCGCUAUCAGAUGAGCCUAGGUCGGAUUAGCUAGUUGGUGAGGUAAUGGCUCACCAAGGCGACGAUCCGUAACUGGUCUGAGAGGAUGAUCAGUCACACUGGAACUGAGACACGGUCCAGACUCCUACGGGAGGCAGCAGUGGGGAAUAUUGGACAAUGGGCGAAAGCCUGAUCCAGCCAUGCCGCGUGUGUGAAGAAGGUCUUCGGAUUGUAAAGCACUUUAAGUUGGGAGGAAGGGCUGCUGGUUAAUACCCUGCAGUUUUGACGUUACCAACAGAAUAAGCACCGGCUAACUUCGUG
rnacentral:rRNA from 1 species